GACGAACGCUGGCGGCGUGCUUAACACAUGCAGGUCGAACGGAAAGGCCCUGCUUUUGUGGGGUGCUCGAGUGGCGAACGGGUGAGUAACCCGUGAGUAACCUGCCCUUGACUUUGGGUUAACUUCAGGAAACUGGGGCUCAUACCGGAUAGGAGCUCCUGCUGCAUGGUGGGGGUUGGAACGUUUCGGUGGUUGGGGAUGGACUCGCGGCUUAUCAGCUUGUUGGUGGGGUAGUGGCAUACCAAGGCUUUGACGGGUAGCCGGCCUGGGAGGGUGACCGGCCACAAGGGGACUGAGAUACGGCGCAGACGCGUACGGGGGGCAACGGUGGGGAGUAUUGCACAGUAAGCGGGAGCGUGAGGCGGCGGCGCCGCGUGCGGAAAGAGGGCCUUCGGGUUGUAAACCGCUUUCGCCUGAGACGAGGCGUGAGUGACGGUAAUGGGUGAAGAAGCACCGGCUAACUACGUG
rnacentral:rRNA from 1 species